CCCUUCCGGGCCUCCCAGGGCACCCGCUCUUCUCUUCGGCCCAAUUCCGCUGGCCGCCGCGCCCUCUUCCGGAGUUGCCCUUUCCGUCUCCUGCUCUCCCGAGACCUGUAUCUGUGCCUCCGAUCCCUCCCUGAGCUCUGGCCCGCGCUUCUUCGGGCUUCCGCCUCCGAACGGCCGCUCGCGCUAUGAAGCUCACCUCUGGUCACAGCACCUGCCAAUCAACCUGUGGCCGGACCAGGGCUGCCAUCUUCCCGGCAGACCAUUUCUGCUCUUCCGCCGUACGGCCUCUGUCAUUGGCCAGGACGGCCUCGUUUCAGCUCUAAGUAUACACCGAUUGGUGCGCCUAAAGAGCACCGAAAACAGUGCCUGCCAUUUGGAAUGCCCAAAUGAAUGAGUGACUUGGAUGAACUUCUGAGCUGAGAUCUGACUGAAGUUAGGAAGUGAGCCAGGAGAUGUCUGUGGAAGAGAAUUCCGGAUAGAGGGAACAGCAAAGACAAAGCGCGGAAGCAGGCAGCUUGCAGGAUCUUAGUUCCCCAACCAGGGAUUGAACCCCGGCCUUCAGCAGGGAAAGUGCUGGACCGCCAGGGAAUUCCCUUAAUUUCUUUUUUUUAAACAGCUUUAUUGAGAUAUCUUUGACAUAUAAAAAUUGUAUAUAUUUAAGGUGUACAACUUGAUGUUUUGAUAUAUGUAGACAUUGUGAAAAGAUCACCACAAUCAAGCUAAUUUACAUAUCCAUCACCUCCACAUAGUUACCAUUUUCUGUGUGUGUUGAGAAUACGGGAGAAUUUUGAGCAAAGGGGUGACAAGAUUCGACUUACAUUCUUC